GACGAACGCUGGCGGCGUGCCUAAUACGUGCAAGUCGAGCGGAUGGAUGGGAGCUUGCUCCCUGAAGUCAGCGGCGGACGGGUGAGUAACACGUGGGCAACCUGCCCCUAAGAUCGGGAUAACUUCGGGAAACCGGAGCUAAUACCGGAUAUGAUCAUCCCUCACAUGAGGGGUGAUGGAAAGACGGUUUCGGCUGUCACUUAGGGAUGGGCCCGCGGCGCAUUAGCUAGUUGGUGAGGUAACGGCUCACCAAGGCGACGAUGCGUAGCCGACCUGAGAGGGUGAUCGGCCACACCGGGACUGAGACACGGCCCAGACUCCUACGGGAGGCAGCAGUAGGGAAUCUUCCGCAAUGGACGAAAGUCUGACGGAGCAACGCCGCGUGAGUGAAGAAGGUUUUCGGAUCGUAAACUCUGUUGUCAGGGAAGAACAAGUACCAUAGUAACUGAUGGUACCUUGACGGUACCUGACCAGAAAGCCACGGCUAACUACGUGCCAGCCGCCGCGGUAACAC
rnacentral:rRNA from 1 species